ACUAAACAGAAAAGGGGGGAACAGUGAUGAAACUUUCAGACCAUGGAAUUUAAACUGAAUUGCUCAUUUGUAGUUAUUUCUAACAGUCAUAUCAUUUGCCAAACUAUGGGGAAAAGACUGUUUUAUUUCAUUCAGUGGUAAAUUGUUGGGUAUAAAUGUGGAAAACUGUAAAUUAAAGCAGCGUGUUAGUUCCACAUGUUAUACCUUCAG
rnacentral:lncRNA from 1 species